GGUGAAGACCUAGUGGCGAACGGGUGAGUAACACGUGAGAAACCUGCCCCGAAGACCGGGAUAACUCACCGAAAGGUGAGCUAAUACCGGAUACCUUCACGACAGCGCAUGCUGAUGUGAAGAAAUGGAUUCCGCUUCGGGAGGGUCUCGCGGCCUAUCAGCUUGUUGGUGAGGUAACGGCUCACCAAGGCGACGACGGGUAGCUGUUCUGAGAGGAAGAUCAGCCACACUGGGACUGAGACACGGCCCAGACUCCUACGGGAGGCAGCAGUGGGGAAUCUUGCGCAAUGGGCGAAAGCCUGACGCAGCAACGCCGCGUGCGGGAAGACGGCCUUCGGGUUGUAAACCGCUUUCAGCAGGGACGAAAUUGACGGUACCUGCAGAAGAAGCCCCGGCCAACUACGUGCCAGCCGCCGCGGUAA
rnacentral:rRNA from 1 species